UACGGGGGGGGCAAGCGUUGUUCGGAAUUACUGGGCGUAAAGGGCUCGUAGGCGGCCAACUAAGUCAUACGUGAAAUCCCUCAGCUUAACUGGGGAACUGCGUGUGAUACUGGAUGGCUUGGAUUUGGGAGAGGGAUGCGGAAUUCCAGGUGUAGCGGUGAAAUGCGUAGAUAUCUGGAGGAACACCGGUGGCGAAGGCGGCAUCCUGGACCAAGAUUGACGCUGAGGAGCGAAAGCUAGGGGAGCAAACGGG
rnacentral:rRNA from 1 species